GACGAACGCUGGCGGCGUGCUUAACACAUGCAAGUCGAACGGAAAGGCCCUGCUUUUGUGGGGUGCUCGAGUGGCGAACGGGUGAGUAACACGUGAGUAACCUGCCCUUGACUUUGGGAUAACUUCAGGAAACUGGGGCUAAUACCGGAUAGGAGCUCCUGCUGCAUGGUGGGGGUUGGAAAGUUUCGGCGGUUGGGGAUGGACUCGCGGGUUAUCAGCUUGUUGGUGGGGUAGUGGCUUACCAAGGCUUUGACGGGUAGCCGGCCUUGGAGGGUGACCGGCCACAUUGGGCCUGCGAGACGGACCAGACUCCUACGGGAGGCAGCAGGGGGGAAUAUUGCACAGUGGGCGGAAGCCUGAUGCAGCAACGCCGCGUGCGGGAUGACGGCCUUCGGGUUGUAAACCGCUUUCGCCUGUGACGAAGCGUGAGUGACGGUAAUGGGUAAAGAAGCACCGGCUAACUACGUG
rnacentral:rRNA from 1 species